GUCCCCCCUGAAGGGUUGAAGCAGAUAAGAGCAGACACUCCCGACAGAAGACAGGAAAUCCAUGGCAGGCAUCCAUCCGAUACUGAAAAUGAUGAACGCAGCACCGGUAACGAUCUUCAAACCAAGAAGAUUAAAAUGCAAGAUUUGCCUAAACUAUUGUUCCUGAUGUGCAAGCCUCGGCAUAAG
rnacentral:lncRNA from 1 species